rnacentral:rRNA from 1 species
GACGAACGCUGGCGGCGUGCUUAACACAUGCAAGUCGAACGGAAAGGCCCUGCUUGCAGGGUACUCGAGUGGCGAACGGGUGAGUAACACGUGGGUGAUCUGCCCUGCACUUCGGGAUAAGCCUGGGGAACUGGGUCUAAUACCGGAUAUGACCUUCCAUGUAGUGUGGGGGGUGGAAAGAUUUAUCGGUGUGGGAUGAGCCCGCGGCCUAUCAGCUUGUUGGUGGGGUAAUGGCCUACCAAGGCGUCGACGGGUAGCCGGCCUGAGAGGGUGGACGGCCACAUUGGGACUGAGAUACGGCCCAGACUCCUACGGGAGGCAGCAGUGGGGAAUAUUGCACAAUGGGCGGAAGCCUUAUGCAGCGACGCCGCGUGGGGGAUGACGGCCUUCGGGUUGUAAACCUCUUUCGACAGGGACGAAGCUUCGGUGACGGUACCUGUAUAAGAAGCACCGGCUAACUACGUG